rnacentral:rRNA from 1 species
AUUGAACGCUGGCGGCAGGCCUAACACAUGCAAGUCGAACGAGUGGCGGACGGGUGAGGAAUGUCUGGGAAAAUGCCUGAUGGAGGGGGAGAACUACUGGAAAAGGUAGCUAAUACCGCAUACCAUCGGAUGUGCCCAGAUGGGAUUAGCUAGUAGGAGGGGUAAAGGCACACCUAGGCGACGAUCCCUAGCUGGUCUGAGAGGAUGACCAGGCCCACUGGACCUGAGACACGGUCCGAACUCCUACGGGCGGCAGCAGUGGGGAAGAUUGCACAAUGGGCGCAAGCCUGAUGCAGCCAUGCCGCGUGUAUGAAGCAGGCCUUCGGGUUGUAAAGUACUUUCAUCGGGGAGGCGUUACCCGCAGAAGAAGCACCGGCUAACUCCGUGCCAGCAGCCGCGGUAAUAC